rnacentral:misc_RNA from 1 species
UUAAGUUCAGCGGGUAUUCCUACCUGAUCUGAGGUCAACCUUAGAAAUUGGGUGUUUUACGGCGUGGGCCGACUGCUGUCCAGCUGCGAGGUAUUACUACUGCACAGAGGAGAUCACAGAAGGACCGCCACUAGGUUUAAGGGCCGGCCGCCGUAAGGCUGGUCGAUCCCCAACAGCAGGUCCCGCGAACGGGUCCUGAG